rnacentral:rRNA from 1 species
AAACCGUUCAGGGGUAAACCUGAGAAACCCAAAAGAUCGAAUGGGGAGAUUCAUCGUCAGCGGCGCUCGCUUCCGUGCGGCUCGCGAUGCGCUCGGUGCCCUGCAAGGGACAGCCGUGUCGCACGCGUCCGCCGCGGUCCAUGUCGAGCGUCGUCGGCGUGCAAUUCUCCCCUAGUAGGACGUCGCGACCCGUUGGGUGUCGGCCUACGGCCCGGGUGGGUGACUGUCUCGCGCGCGACGGCAGACCCCCGGUCGUCCCGGCCGGCUGCCCGGCGGUACUCGCACGGUAUUGGGCCGCACGAACAACGAACGAUGACUGCGUCCGGCCCGUCGCAAGCGCGGCCAGCGUCUCGUCGUCGCACCGUCUCUCGCUCGCUCCCUCGCGUAUCCCUCUCUCGCUUUCGGGCGCUCUCUCUCUCUCAGGAAGAGGCGUCGGAGUUUCGGGGGCAGGGCCGCGAGGUGUCGCGCGCGCGGUUUCGGAGGAGGACGACGACGGCGAUCCCGGAGUGUUUGCGGACCUAGCGCCGUCCCCGGGCCUGGCCGGCUGUGUUACGAACGGUGACCUCGGACUGGCUCGCGUCGAGAGACGCGCGCGAUACCGGUCGGCGACGCUACUGCUUUGGGUACUUUCAGGA